CCUUGCCAGCCCGCUCAAGAAACUUAAUGAAUUGACGGGGGCCCGCACAAGCGGAGGAGCAUGUGGUUUAAUUCGAUGAUACGCGAGGAACCUUACCUGGGCUCGAACGUAAGAUGACUGUAGGUGAAAGCUUACAUCUCUUCGGAGCAUUUUACGAGGUGCUGCAUGGUUGUCGUCAGCUCGUGCCGUGAGGUGUCGGGUUAAGUCCCAUAACGAGCGCAACCCCUACCUUUAGUUGCCAUCAGGUAAUGCUGGGGACUCUAAAGGAACUGCCUACGCAAGUAGUGAGGAAGGCGGGGAUGACGUCAAAUCAGCACGGCCCUUACGUCCAGGGCUACACACGUGCUACAAUGGCCGAUACAGAGGGCAGCUACCUGGUGACAGGAUGCAAAUCUCCAAAGUCGGUCUCAGUUCGGAUCGGAGUCUGCAACCCGACUCCGUGAAGUUGGAUUCGCUAGUAAUCGCGCAUCAGCCAUGGCGCGGUGAAUACGUUCCCGGGCCUU
rnacentral:rRNA from 1 species